UUGGAGCUAGGGUUAGGGUUAGGGUUAGGGUUGGAGUUAGGGUUAGUGUUGGAGCUAGGGUUAGGGUUGGGCUUGGAGCUAGGAUUUUUCUGAGUGCACUGAACCAACUCCCGAGUCUCUAGGACAUUCCUAAAAAAAUUUGAUUUUUUCCCAUAGGAAUGCAUGGGUUAGGGUUAGGGUUAGGGUUGGAGCUAGGGUUAGGGUUAGGGUUAGGGUUGGAGUUAGGGUUAGUGUUGGAGCUAGGGUUAGGGUUGGGCUUGGAGCUAGGAUUUUUCUGAGUGCAAUGAACCAACUCCCGAGUCUCUAGGACGUUCCUAAAAAAAUUUGAUUUUUUCCCAUAGGAAUGCAUGGGUUAGGGUUAGGGUUAGGGUUGGAGCUAGGGUUAGGGUUAGGGUUAGGAUUAGGGUUGGAGUUAGGGUUAGUGUUGGAGCUAGGGUUAGGGUUGGGCUUGGAGCUAGGAUUUUUCUGAGUGCACUGAACCAACUCCCGAGUCUCUAGGACAUUCCUAAAAAAAAUUUGAUUUUUUCCCAUAGGAAUGCAUGGGUUAGGGUUAUGGUUAGGGUUAGGGUUGGAGCUAGGGUUAGGGUUAGGGUUAGGGUUGGAGUUAGGGUUAGUGUUGGAGCUAGGGUUAGGGUUGGGCUUGGAGC